AUUCAGGUGAUGAGUCCCGAAUAAGACGAAACGCGCGUCCUAGAC
rnacentral:hammerhead_ribozyme from 1 species